rnacentral:rRNA from 1 species
GAUGAACGCUGGCGGCGUGCCUAAUACAUGCAAGUCGAGCGAACAGAUGAGGAGCUUGCUCCUCUGACGUUAGCGGCGGACGGGUGAGUAACACGUGGAUAACCUACCUAUAAGACUGGGAUAACUUCGGGAAACCGGAGCUAAUACCGGAUAAUAUAUUGAACCGCAUGGUUCAAUAGUGAAAGACGGUUUUGCUGUCACUUAUAGAUGGAUCCGCGCCGCAUUAGCUAGUUGGUAAGGUAACGGCUUACCAAGGCAACGAUGCGUAGCCGACCUGAGAGGGCGAUCGGCCACACUGGAACUGAGACACGGUCCAGACUCCUACGGGAGGCAGCAGUAGGGAAUCUUCCGCAAUGGGCGAAAGCCUGACGGAGCAACGCCGCGUGAGUGAUGAAGGUCUUCGGAUCGUAAAACUCUGUUAUUAGGGAAGAACAAAUGUGUAAGAAACUAUGCACGUCUUGACGGUACCUAAUCAGAAAGCCACGGCUAACUACGUG